CUCCAAAAGCAUAUUGAUGCAAUUCAAAUUAUCUCUCAUCUGUCAUUGAUUGCUAAAAGUGACUAGAUUUCACUGU